AGUGAACGCUGGCGGUAGACCUAACACAUGCAAGUCGAACGGCAGCACAGUAAGAGCUUGCUCUUACGGGUGGCGAGUGGCGGACGGGUGAGGAAUACAUCGGAAUCUACUUUUUCGUGGGGGAUAACGUAGGGAAACUUACGCUAAUACCGCAUACGACCUACGGGUGAAAGCAGGGGAUCUUCGGACCUUGCGCGAUUGAAUGAGCCGAUGUCGGAUUAGCUAGUUGGCGGGGUAAAGGCCCACCAAGGCGACGAUCCGUAGCUGGUCUGAGAGGAUGAUCAGCCACACUGGAACUGAGACACGGUCCAGACUCCUACGGGAGGCAGCAGUGGGGAAUAUUGGACAAUGGGCGCAAGCCUGAUCCAGCCAUACCGCGUGGGUGAAGAAGGCCUUCGGGUUGUAAAGCCCUCUUGUUGGGAAAGAAAAGCAGCAGGUUAAUACCCCGCUGUUCUGACGGUACCCAAAGAAUAAGCACCGGCUAACUUCGUG
rnacentral:rRNA from 1 species